rnacentral:misc_RNA from 1 species
AGCAGCCGCGGUAAUUCCAGCUCCAAUAGCGUAUAUUAAAGUUGUUGCAGUUAAAAGCUCGUAGUUGAAUUUCGAGAUCAAAUUGUUGGUCGUGCCUUGGUACGCACUGGCAUUAUUGGUUUCUCCCUUCUGACGAACCAUGAUGUCAUUAAUUUGGUGUCUUGGGGAAUCAGGACUGUUACUUUGAAAAAUUGAGUGUUUAAAGCAGGCUUACGCUUGAAUACAUUAGCAUGGAAUAAUGAAAUAGGACGUUUGAUUCUAUUUUGUUGGUUUCUAGGAUCGACGUAAUGAUUAAUAGGGAUAGUUGGGGGCAUUAGUAUUCAAUUGUCAGAGGUGAAAUUCUUGGAUUUAUUGAAGACUAACUACUGCGAAAGCAUUUGCCAAGGAUGUUUUCAUUAAUCAAGAACGAAAGUUAGGGGAUCGAAGACGAUCAGAUACCGUCGUAGUCUUAACCAUAAACUAUAGCCGACUAGGGAUCGGAUGAUGUUAAUUUUUAAUGUA